CUUAAAAUUAGUCAGUAAACACCUAGGAUGGGAAAAGAAAAAAGAGAACUCCAAUAGUGUAAAAUGGUAAGUAUAAGGAGGGAGUGAGUAACCUAUAUGGAACCACUCACAUUUACCCGAGCUAUAUACCUAGCUCAGGGGAAAAACGCCAAUAGGUCCGUUAAGGCAACCUUUCCCUUCUUGGUUGGAGUGAUAUCUUUAGAUCCUGUAUAGGGACUUAUAGUAGAAAAAACAAUAUGGUGCAGUAUCUAAUGUGCUAUGGAGUAAAGUAAAAUAUAUAGAGAAAUAUACUCACAAGUGUAGAGCCGUAUUAUGAAAGGCUCAAUCUCAGCGCUUUGUGAAGUGUCAGGACUACACACCUAUUAGCAGGAAACCUCUGGCCCAAAGUGCAUAAAAAAGUACUUAUUAACCCCUUAAGACCGCAGCCAAAUGUACAAGUUCUGAUCCAAAAAAAAUUUAAACAAACCACAGAAUUUUACUAUAUGUCUGUUCAACAAUAAUUUACCUCUUUCAUACUGUGUGCAUCCACACUUCUUAUAUAUCAUUUUGUUCAGGGAAAACAGAGCUUUAAUUUCAUAUCAAACAUUCAUAUAUGGAAC